UACAGGGGGUGCAAACGUUGCUCGGAAUCAUUGGGCGUAAAGCGCACGUAGGCGGUUCGUUAUGUCGGAUGUGAAAGCCCUUGGCUUAACCGAGGAAGUGCAUCCGAAACUGGCGAGCUAGAGUACGAAAGAGGAUCGCGGAAUUCCCGGUGUAGAGGUGAAAUGCGUAGAUAUCGUGAGGAACACCAGAGGCGAAGGCGGCUACCUGGACAAUUGCUGACGCUCAGGCACGAAAGCGUGGGGAGCAAAAGGG
rnacentral:rRNA from 1 species